AAUGCUAUAGCUCAUUGGUAGAGCAGUUGAUUAAGGUUCAACCGGUUGCCGGUUCAACUCCGGCUAGCAAAU
rnacentral:tRNA from 1 species